CAGUCGCCGCGGGAAUACGUAGGUCCCGAGCGCUGUCCGGAUUUAUUGGGCGUAAAGCGAGCGCAGGCGGUUAGAUAAGUCUGAAGUUAAAGGCUGUGGCUUAACCAUAGUACGCUUUGGAUACUGUUUAACUUGAGUGCAAGAGGGGAGAGUGGAAUUCCAUGUGUAGCGGUGAAAUGCGUAGAUAUAUGGAGGAACACCGGUGGCGAAAGCGGCUCUCUGGCUUGUAACUGACGCUCAUGCACGAAAGCGUGGGGAGCAAACAGGAUUAGAUACCCCGGUAGUCCCUGUCUCUUAUACA
rnacentral:rRNA from 1 species